rnacentral:rRNA from 1 species
GAUGAACGCUGGCGGCGUGCCUAAUACAUGCAAGUCGAGCGAACGGACGAGAAGCUCGCUUCUCUGAUGUUAGCGGCGGACGGGUGAGUAACACGUGGAUAACCUACCUAUAAGACUGGGAUAACUUCGGGAAACCGGAGCUAAUACCGGAUAAUAUUUUGAACCGCAUGGUUCAAAAGCGAAAGACGGUCUUGCUGUCACUUAUAGAUGGAUCCGCGCUGCAUUAGCUAGUUGGUAAGGUAACGGCUUACCAAGGCAACGAUGCAUAGCCGACCUGAGAGGGUGAUCGGCCACACUGGAACUGAGACACGGUCCAGACUCCUACGGGAGGCAGCAGUAGGGAAUCUUCCGCAAUGGGCGAAAGCCUGACGGAGCAACGCCGCGUGAGUGAUGAAGGUCUUCGGAUCGUAAAACUCUGUUAUUAGGGAAGAACAUAUGUGUAAGUAACUGUGCACAUCUUGACGGUACCUAAUCAGAAAGCCACGGCUAACUACGUG